rnacentral:rRNA from 1 species
UACGGAGGAUGCAAGCGUUAUCCGGAAUGAUUGGGCGUAAAGCGCCCGCAGGUGGCAGUUCAAGUCUGCUGUCAAAGACCGGGGCUUAACUUCGGAAAGGCAGUGGAAACUGAACAGCUAGAGUAUGGUAGGGGCAGAGGGAAUUCCUGGUGUAGCGGUGAAAUGCGUAGAGAUCAGGAAGAACAUCGGUGGCGAAGGCGCUCUGCUGGACCAUAACUAACACUCAGGGACGAAAGCUAGGGGAGCGAAUGGG